rnacentral:lncRNA from 1 species
CCUUACAUACAAGCAUAUUAAAUGGUGCCUCCCACUAAAUGAUAUAUUUAGGCUUUUGAUCUAAAUAAUUAGUUAUCUUGCUUAUUAAUCUAGUAGUGGUGCAAUCAAUUAAAUGAGCUAACCCGGGGAUCAUUUGGGAACAUACAAUAGUGGCUAUAAUAAUUAGGCUUGUAAUUAAACUAGCUCAAUUAUUUAAUUCCAAAUCUACUCCACUAAAAGAUUGGAACUGGCCUCCAUAAUUGUAUGCUCGAAUAAUAAUUCGUCCCAAACCACAUUGAUUUCUGUACUGUAUAAUUCUUCAUACCACAUCGUUAAUUAAAUCGACAUCUCAACUGUCCAAUCGAUUUAAUUACAUCUUGUUCUUUGAUACUUACUGGUUUUCUCUAAUGAUCAUUUUCAACAUACUAAAUAUGUUGACACACUCUGGCCAGAGAAUUCUAUGAUCAAGUGCCGAAAACCCAUCAAGAGAUGUGUUGCACAAAUUCUAUAUUGUUAAUCUAUAACUCCAAUACUCAUAAAUGCUCCCACCAAGAUAUCGGGUAAUCUAGACUACAAGUAUGUGUCAUGCCCAUUGGUAACUCAAAUGGAAUAACAAUUACAAUCAUGAAAUCAUAAUUAACUCAAGAUUAAGAUUACAGUAAAAUCAAUGCCUAUGAGAUUUAAUAAGUCUAACAGUUAUUACAAAGUUAAUUAAAUCUCAUAUGUGGUCCUGUUCAAUGUAGUCGUACUACAUCAAUAAAUCCAUACAUGAUUAAGACAAAUCAUUCAAUGAAUUUAUUACAGUCUAUACCUAAAUAAAGUGUUCAAUUUUAUUUAUGAACUGUGAACUAAAUUUAUUUAAUUAUAAGAUAACUUGUAUUCAUGUCUUCUAUGAAUCCACAUGGUGAUCACAUAAAUACAUAUAAUAUGAUUAAAUGGACUUUAAUAAAAAUAUUAAUGCAAUUAAGAUAUUUGAAUAAAAUACCUUAUUUAUUUUAUUAAUAAGAAAAAUUAUUUAUUACAAUUAAAUAAACACAUAUGCUUUUAAAGAGCAUAUUUUCCCACACAAGCCCAACCCAACAAAACACAUGCUGUGACCGGACACAAGCUUUACCAAACUCCAUGAUGGCUGUCGAAGCCAGUAAAAAUAAAUAUAUACUCUAAAUAAAUUGUAUAUAGUGAUUAAGCAGGGUCGUGUCCACAGAGAUCGGUAAUUAUUUAAAUCCUUUUAAAAUGUAAAAUGCAAAAUGGGAGAUUUGUUGAUAAUAAUAAAAAUCAAAUUAAAAUAACAAGAGUGCAAAUUAAAAUUGUAAUUCAAAUUGGGGAAAACUCUGGUUGAAGGAAUUAACUCAGCUUGAUUCGACUACUGAUCAUUGAUUCAAAUAUAAAUCAUUACUACUUAUGAAUAGACCGGUUAUAGCUACUGAGACCCUCUAAUAGCCAAUCUCUCCUUAACUAGUCGAUAACCAAGGUACGACCGUUGAUUAUUUCCCUAAUCAAUAGACAAACCUAGAUACGAUCAUAGGAUUUAAUCAAUUGAUAGCCUGAAAAAUCAGAGAGACCCAAAUCCUAAUCAACAAACAAAUACGAUGGUUCAUUUAAAUUAGAUUGUUUAUUCUCAUAAUACAACGCACUGCUAUACUAUUUAUCACAAACAUUAAAAUCUUCAUACGAUGAAUCUUUUAAUUGACAAUAGAUUAAGUUGAUAAUUAAAUAGUGGCCAAUUAUUUAAUUAACAAACAUAAUCAUGACAAUAAUUCAGAGAAUAAACAAAUACCCAAAAAGUAAUAAAACAAUUAAAGCAUAAGAAAGAUCUUACAGUAGUAACGAAUCAAAGCUUCAUUAACCUUCAACCAGAAUAAUAUGUUUAGUUCUUCAUAGAGAGAAGAGAAAAAUUUAGAUCUAGGGUUUCUUUCUUUUCAA